rnacentral:antisense_RNA from 1 species
CUUGAGGGAGCCGAGCCACAGCGGCCGGUCCUGCGGCCGGUUCUGCCCGUACGUGGCGAUGACGGCCUGGGCCUC